rnacentral:snoRNA from 1 species
CUGCGAAUAUUCUCGCUGUUCGGAUAGUCAAGGCAGGCUAAACAUUUGCUAUAUUAAGACCAUGCAUGUGUCCCCAGAUCUACUUCUUUUCCUAAGUCUGGUUUUAUAAAUGCUGGUGAUAAAC